UCGGGAAUUUUGGGCAAUGGGCGAAAGCCUGACCCAGCAACGCCGCGUGAAGGAUGAAGUAUUUCGGUAUGUAAACUUCGAAAGAAUAGGAAGAAUAAAUGACAGUACUAUUUAUAAGGUCCGGCUAACUACGUGCCAGCAGCCGCGGUAAUACGUAGGGACCAAGCGUUGUUCGGAUUUACUGGGCGUAAAGGGCGCGUAGGCGGCAAUUCAAGUCAUCUGUGAAAUCUCCGGGCUUAACUCGGAACGGUCAGAUGAUACUGCUUUGCUAGAGUGCAGAAGGGGCAAUCGGAAUUCUUGGUGUAGCGGUGAAAUGCGUAGAUAUCAAGAGGAACACCUGAGGUGAAGACGGGUUGCUGGGCUGACACUGACGCUGAGGCGCGAAAGCC
rnacentral:rRNA from 1 species